CGCGCGCAGGCGGUUUCUUAAGUCUGAUGUGAAAGCCCGUGGCUCAACCACGGAGGGUCAUUGGAAACUGGGAAGCUUGAGUGCAGAAGAGGAGAGUGGAAUUCCACGUGUAGCGGUGAAAUGCGUAGAUAUGUGGAGGAACACCAGUGGCGAAAGCGGCUCUCUGGUCUGUAACUGACGCUGAGGCGCGAAAGCGUGGGGAGCAAACAGGAUUAGAUACCCUGGUAGUCCACGCCGUAAACGAUGAGUGCUAGGUGUUAGGGGGGUCCAACCCCUUAGUGCUGAAGUUAACACAUUAAGCACUCCGCCUGGGGAGUACGACCGCAAGGUUGAAACUCAAAGGAAUUGACGGGGGCCCGCACAAGCAGUGGAGCAUGUGGUUUAAUUCGAAGCAACGCGAAGAACCUUACCAGGUCUUGACAUCCUCUGACAACCCUAGAGAUAGGGCGUUCCCCUUCGGGGGACAGAGUGACAGGUGGUGCAUGGUUGUCGUCAGCUCGUGUCGUGAGAUGUUGGGUUAAGUCCCGCAACGAGCGCAACCCUUGAUGUUAGUUGCCAGCAUUUAGUUGGGCACUCUAACGUGACUGCCGGUGACAAACCGGAGGAAGGUGGGGAUGA
rnacentral:rRNA from 1 species